rnacentral:misc_RNA from 1 species
AAUAUUAUCCGACAAAAAAAGUAACUAUUUUAUGAAAAAUUAGAAAAAAAAAAAAAUUAAACUUACCUCUACUGCUAGGAGGGAAUUUCAGCUGUGGGGUUUGGGGACAUUGCUGGGAUAUGGGUUUUAAUUUUAUAUAAUAUUAUCCGACAAAGUCCGUCCCCUCGCACUACAGCUAGAUGCUAUCAUUAAUAGCAUCCACCUCAUGACACCCCUGAGCAUGUUAAUGCCAAACGCCAUAAGUAGCUAAUGCUACUAUUACUAGAGAAUGCCACUUGUUUAUUGUUUUUUUACUAUUCAAUGAUUUUUUUUUUAUCAUUUUUCACUUGUUGGACACUACCAUAACUAGAGCCUAUCUCCCUCUCUCCUCCAUAUCAGCUAAGCUCACCCCCUUUUGGUAAAUAAUGUAACCCCCUUUUGGUAUUUUGUUUUCAGAAAGACAAUCUUUUGGAAAAAAGCCCCAAUGCCCCAACAGUGCGACAUCACAAUAGAUAUUGCAUAUUUAAACCUUAUUGUACCAUGCUUCUCUUUUGACAUUGUUUCACACUCUAUUAGAUUCAUCGAAAGGCCAUUUAAAAAUUUUUAGCAACAGCUAAUGCUAAUUGCAAUACAAACUUUUUGAAGCCAGCGCAUAUGCUAGUUCUUUAUUUAACAAGGAUUAAGAGUUCUCUAUGAUGAUUAAGAGUAUAGAAGCUCAUAUAUUUCUUAUUAAUAUUCAGAUUAUAAUAUGCAAAACAAAAGCAUGGCUUAUAUCUGUUUUAAACUUAGGAAAGUUAA